AGGGGGGCUAUAGGGUGAUAUAGGGAGAUAAGGGAAAGAUAUGGGGCAAUAGGGGCAACGCAAGGGAAAUGGAAGGGAUAUAGAGCAAUAUGAGGAAGAUACGGGGUGAUAUGGGGGGGCUAUGGGGCUGGAGGGCACCAGAGGGAUGUUAUGGAGCCCAGGAAGUCAUUGGGAUUUUAGAAGUCCCCAAGAGGUUUUGAAGGGUCUCCAGGAGGUUUGGUGGACUCCCAGGAGGUUUGGGGGCUCCUGGGGUCCCUGGGAAGUUUUGAAGGGUCCCCAGGGGGUUUGGUGGACUCCCAGGAGAUUUGGGGGCUCCCCAGGAGGUUUGGGGGCUCCUGGAGGUUUUGAAGGGUCUCCAGGGGGUUUGGUGGACUCCCAGGAGAUUUGGGGGGCUCCUGGAGGUUUUGAAGGGUCCCCAGAGGGUUUGGUGGACUCCCAGGAGGUUUGGGGGUCCCCAGGAGGUCUGGGGGCUCCCGGGAGGGCUUCGGGGGUCACGCACCGUCCAUGGAGUGGAGGGACUCGAAGGCGACGAUCUUGGGCAGCCCGGGGGGGCUGCGGGCCAGCAGCUGGGCCAGGUGCUGAGGGUCGUUGUGGCGGAAGACGUGCUUGGGGACGCCGCUGGCCCGGAUGCCCUGGAUCAUGGACGCGUGGUUGCCCGCGUCCGAGAAGAUCUCGCAGCCUGCGGCCAAGGGGGGGACAGACGGAGCGUGAGGCGCGGGGCCCCGGCGUCCGGGCGGGCAUGCGUGCGGGCGGGCGUCCCCGCGUACCUGGCAGCAGGCGGGCGAGCGUGGCCAGCGCCGUGUCGUUGGCGGCGAAGCAGGAGGAGAAGAGCAGGGCACGGGGCUGGCGAUGCAGCCGGGCCAGCGCUGCCUCCAGCGCCCCGUGCAGCGGCGACGUCCCG
rnacentral:lncRNA from 1 species